rnacentral:rRNA from 1 species
GUAGUCAUAUGCUUGUCUCAAAGAUUAAGCCAUGCAUGUCUAAGUAUAAGCAAUUAUACAGCGAAACUGCGAAUGGCUCAUUAAAUCAGUUAUCGUUUACUUGACAGUACCUUACUACUUGGAUAACCGUGGUAAUUCUAGAGCUAAUACAUGCUAAUAACCCCGACUCACGAAGGGGUGUAUUUAUUAGAUUAAAAGCCAAUGCCCUUCGGGGCUCACUGGUGAUUCAUAAUAACUUGUCGAAUCGCAUGGCCUUGCGCCGGCGAUGGUUCAUUCAAAUUCCUGCCCUAUCAACUUUCGACGGCUGGGUCUUGGCCAGCCAUGGUGACAACGGGUAACGGAGGGUUAGGGCUCGACCCCGGAAAACGAGCCUGAGAAACGGCUAUUACAUCCAAGGAAGGCAGCAGGCGCGCAAAUUACCCAAUACCGACUCGGUGAGGUAGUGACGAUAAAUACUGAUACAGGGCUCUUUUGGGUCUUGUAAUUGGAAUGAGUACAAUUUAAAUCCCUUAACGAGGAACAAUUGGAGGGCAAGUCUGGUGCCAGCAGCC